GCUUUCACUGUCUACAAAGUGCAUUGAAAAAAUUGCCAACCUCAAUGGCUUAAAAAACUUGAGGAUAUUGUCUUUAGGAAGAAACAACAUAAAGAACUUAAAUGGACUGUAAGUCUAGCUUGUGCUUCCUAAGAACCAGCAGGGAUGAAUCUACGGAGCUUCUCGACAAUAAUCUCACCAAACCAGACAGGCUGAAGUGGCCGUCCCCUUGUUGCAGAGGCCACUAUAAUACCUGAACAGGAGUCCGUGUUCAGAGCUGUGAUUUUGGAAUUAUCUUGAAAUGUC